rnacentral:rRNA from 1 species
ACCUCUUUCAGUAGGGAAGAAGCGAAAGUGACGGUACCUGCAGAAGAAGCGCCGGCUAACUACGUGCCAGCAGCCGCGGUAAUACGUAGGGCGCAAGCGUUAUCCGGAAUUAUUGGGCGUAAAGAGCUCGUAGGCGGUUUGUCGCGUCUGACGUCGUCCGGGGCUCAACUCCGGAUAUGCGGUGGGUACGGGCAGACUAGAGUGAUGUAGGGGAGACUGGAAUUCCUGGUGUAGCGGUGAAAUGCGCAGAUAUCAGGAGGAACACCGAUGGCGAAGGCAGGUCUCUGGGCAUUAACUGACGCUGAGGAGCGAAAGCAUGGGGAGCGAACAGGAUUAGAUACCCUGGUAGUCCAUGCCGUAAACGUUGGGCACUAGGUGUGGGGGACAUUCCACGUUUUCCGCGCCGUAGCUAACGCAUUAAGUGCCCCGCCUGGGGAGUACGAUCCCUCGGCAAAAACUCAAAGGAAUUGACGG